rnacentral:rRNA from 1 species
UACGAAGGGGGCUAGCGUUGCUCGGAAUCACUGGGCGUAAAGGGUGCGUAGGCGGGUCUUUAAGUCAGGGGUGAAAUCCUGGAGCUCAACUCCAGAACUGCCCUUGAUACUGAAGAUCUUGAGUUCGGGAGAGGUGAGUGGAACUGCGAGUGUAGAGGUGAAAUUCGUAGAUAUCAAGCAGAACACCUGCGGCGAAGGCGGCCUUCUGGACGAUGACUGACGCUGAGACGCGAAAGCGUGGGGAGCAAACAGG